rnacentral:lncRNA from 1 species
AUGUGGAUGCCAAGGGAUGAAGGUUGGAGCAUCGAUGUGAAUGCCCAAAUGAUCACACCAGAGGAAUGGCUUGGAAGAGUUAUGGCCUAGAUGACCAUCAAUGGGAACUUGGAGAGAUGGGAAUGAACUAGUUUAAGAAAAAAGGGCUGGGUGAAAAGGCCAAUGGAGAAAGGAAUAAUUUGAUCAUUCUGAGCAGUUCUGUAAUGGUGCUAAAUAGCCAAUGGGCAGAUGGACGACAUGGGGUCAAAUGGGAAAGUUUAGGGACAUAAUCUCAAAAUUUUAAACUAGAAACGGCUCAGGAGAACUCAACUAAAUUCAAGGGGUUAAAAUGUAAUUUUUCCAUAAAAAAUUGGCAAAGAUAAAAGGAAAAUCAUCUAUAAAUUAAUAGGAUGCAAAAUAAUAUUUUGGUGAAUAUAUAGAACUAAGAUAGCACUAACAUGUCUUCCUUCGACAAAUCGGCCAUAUCUUUUAUGUGAUUUCUAUAUUUUGUAAUUCAAAAUGCAUUGGAAAACUAACAAAAUAUAGAUGUAGCAGAAAAUAUUUUAUUUAGAAAUUUUAAUUAUGUUGAUGCUUGUGAAACUUUCUUUUGGACUAAUAUGAGAUGAUGGACUACUCUUCUAAAUAUGAUUAUGUGUAAACUUCAAAAGUUAAGACCGUUGAAUAUUUUUAAGUCAAACAUCAUCUUGUAUUCUUCCAAGAAUGAAUGUUUAUAUACCUGGUGAUCAUUAGAGCAUGUUCUAUCUCACAAUAGAUUUUAGUACAAAUAUCAAAGUAUUAGCUUUCACGCUUGUUCAAGCAUAGUUUUUAUUGCCAUGCAAGUUCUUUGAGCUUCAGUGGUUUUCUAUCACAUGCACUACAUAUAGAAGAUCUCUUUCCAGACAUUUGAAUUCCUUUUGUCUUGGAUUCUAAUCCUAGUCCAAACAUGUGGUAGAUACAGGAUCCAUCCACUAUAUU